UGGCGGCGUGCCUAACACAUGCAAGUCGAACGGUCUGCUUCGGCAGAUAGUGGCGCACGGGUGAGUAACACGUGGUUGACCUACCCUCAAGUAGGGGAUAACGUUCCGAAAGGAAUGCUAAUACCCUAUAAGCUCCCGGUGUUUAGAAAACUGGGAGAAAAGUUCCGGCGCUUGAGGAGGGGACUGCGAACCAUCAGCUAGUUGGUGUGGUAAUGGCGCACCAAGGCGACGACGGUUAGGGGACCUGAGAGGGUGGCCCCCCACACUGGAACUGAGACACGGUCCAGACUCCUACGGGAGGCAGCAGUGAGGAAUAUUGCACAAUGGGCGCAAGCCUGAUGCAGCGACGCCGCGUGGGUGAUGAAGGCUUUCGGGUCGUAAAGCCCUUUUCUAGGUGACGAGGAAGGACGGUAGCCUAGGAAUAAGUGUCGGCUAACUACGUGCCAGCAGCCGCGGUAAAACGUAGGACACAAGCGUUAUCCGGAGUUACUGGGCGUAAAGGGCGUGUAGGCGGGAUUAUAAGUCUACUCUGAAAGCUCCUGGCUAAACUGGGAGAGGCGAGUGGAGACUGUAGUUCUAGAGUGAGGAAGAGGAAAGUGGAAUUCCGCGUGUAGUGGUGAAAUGCGUAGAGAUGCGGAGGAACACCAGUGGCGAAAGCGACUUUCUGGUCCUUAACUGACGCUGAGGCGCGAAAGCAUGGGGAGCGAACGGGAUUAGAAACCCCGGUAGUCCAUGCCAUAAACGAUGUUCACUAAACGUUCGACCCUCGCGAGAGGGAUGGGUGUUGAAGCUAACGCAGUAAGUGAACCGCCUGGGGAGUACGGUCGCAAGGCUA
rnacentral:rRNA from 1 species